rnacentral:tRNA from 1 species
AGCCCUAUCUACUAAUGGUCAGGUAAUUGCCCUCUCAAGGCAAAAAUACGGGUUCGAAUCCCGUUGGGGUUA